AUUGAACGCUGGCGGCAGGCCUAACACAUGCAAGUCGAGCGAGCGGCGGACGGGUGAGUAAUGUAUGGGGACUGCACGAUAGAGGGGGAUAACUACUGGAAACGGUAGCUAAUACCGCAUACUAUCGGAUAACCCAUAUGGGAUUAGCUAGUAGGUGAGGUACUGGCUCACCUAGGCGACGAUCCCUAGCUGGUCUGAGAGGAUGAUCAGCCAAACGGUGACAGAGACACGGCCCAGACUCCCACGGAGGCCGCAGUGGGGAAUAUUGCACAAUGGGCGCAAGCUAUAUGCAGCCAUGCCGCGUGUAUGAUGAAGGCCCUAGGGUUGUAAAGUACUUUCAGUCGGGAGGCGUUACCGACAGAAGAAGCACCGGCUAACUCCGUGCCAGCCGCCGCGGUAAUAC
rnacentral:rRNA from 1 species